GAUGAACGCUGGCGGCGUGCCUAACACAUGCAAGUCGAGCGAAGCACUUACUUUAGAUUUCUUCGGAAUGACGAAGUUUGUGACUGAGCGGCGGACGGGUGAGUAACGCGUGGGCAACCUGCCCUGUACAGGGGGAUAACAGUUAGAAAUGACUGCUAAUACCGCAUAAGCCCACAGCUUCGCAUGAAGCAGUGGGAAAAACUCCGGUGGUACAGGAUGGGCCCGCGUCUGAUUAGCUAGUUGGUAAGGUAACGGCUUACCAAGGCGACGAUCAGUAGCCGACCUGAGAGGGUGACCGGCCACAUUGGGACUGAGACACGGCCCAAACUCCUACGGGAGGCAGCAGUGGGGAAUAUUGCACAAUGGGGGAAACCCUGAUGCAGCGACGCCGCGUGAGCGAUGAAGUAUUUCGGUAUGUAAAGCUCUAUCAGCAGGGAAGAAAGUGACGGUACCUGACUAAGAAGCCCCGGCUAACCACGUA
rnacentral:rRNA from 1 species